CCUACGGGAGGCAGCAGUGAGGAAUAUUGGUCAAUGGACGAGAGUCUGAACCAGCCAAGUAGCGUGAAGGAUGACUGCCCUAUGGGUUGUAAACUUCUUUUAUAUGGGAAUAAAAUGUUCCACGUGUGGGAUUUUGUAUGUACCAUAUGAAUAAGGAUCGGCUAACUCCGUGCCAGCAGCCGCGGUAAUACGGAGGAUCCGAGCGUUUUCCAGAUUUAUUGGGUUUAAAGGGAGCGUAGGUGGAUUGUUAAGUCAGUUGUGAAAGUGUGCGGCUCAACCGUAAAAUUGCAGUUGAAACUGGCAGUCUUGAGUACAGUAGAGGUGGGCGGAAUUCGGGGUGUAGCGGUGAAAUGCUUAGAUAUCACGAAGAACUCCGAUGGCGAAGGCAGUUCACUGGACUGAAACUGACACUGAGGCUCGAAAGUGUGGGUAUCAAACAGGAUUAGAUACCCGGGUAGUC
rnacentral:rRNA from 1 species